rnacentral:rRNA from 1 species
GACGAACGCUGGCGGCGUGCUUAACACAUGCAAGUCGAACGGGCCCGCUCUCUUUUUUGGGGGUGGGUUGAGUGGCGAACGGGUGAGUAUCACGUGAGUAACCUGCCCCCUGCUCCUGGAUAACUGCUUGAAAGGGCGGCUAAUACGGGGUGUGCCGGCUGGUCCGCAUGGGCCUGGUCGGGAUAGUUUCAUCUUCGGGUGUUUCGGUGGGGGAUGGGCUCGCGGCCUAUCAGCUUGUUGGUGGGGUGAUGGCCCACCAAGGCGGUGACGGGUAGCCGGCCUGAGAGGGUGGGCGGCCACACUGGGACUGAGACACGGCCCAGACUCCGGCGGGAGGCAGCAGUGGGGGGUAUUGCACAAUGGGCGGAAGCCUGAUGCAGCGACGUCGCGUGAGGGAUGGAGGCCUUCGGGUUGUGAACCUCUUUCUCCGGUGGUGAAGGCCCUGUCCGUUGCGGCGGGGUUGACGGUAGCCGGGGAUGAAGCGCCGGCUAACUACGUG